ensembl:snoRNA small nucleolar RNA SNORA33
AAUCCAAGAUAUGCAUUAGCAUAAAGUAUCUGACAACAGAAGUCUUCACAAUUCUUGGCAAUAGUAAAGCCAUGUUUUGAGCCUUAAAGACACUGAAGUCAUUAAGGUCCCUGAAAAUGGUUAUGAGG